rnacentral:rRNA from 1 species
AACGCUAGCGGCAGGCUUAACACAUGCAAGUCGAGGGGCAGCACGGGUAGCAAUACCUGGUGGCGACCGGCGCAAGGGUGCGUAACGCGUGAGCAACAUGCCCUAUACAGGGGGAUAAUCCAGGGAAACUUGGUCUAAUAUCCCAUAGUAUUUAGAGGAGGCAUCUUCUAUAAAUUAAAGCUUCGGUGGUAUAGGAUUGGCUCGCGUGACAUUAGCUAGAUGGUGAGGUAACGGCUCACCAUGGCAAUGAUGUCUAGGGGUUCUGAGAGGAAGGCCCCCCACACUGGGACUGAGACACGGCCCAGACUCCUACGGGAGGCAGCAGUGAGGAAUAUUGGACAAUGGAUGGAAAUCUGAUCCAGCCAUGCCGCGUGCAGGAAGACAGCCCUAUGGGUUGUAAACUGCUUUUAUAUGGGAGCAAUAAGGUCUACGUGUAAACUGAUGAGAGUACCAUAUGAAUAAGCAUCGGCUAACUCCGUG